rnacentral:rRNA from 1 species
AACGUAGGUGGCUAACGUUAUCCGGAUUUACUGGGCGUAAAGCGCGCGCAGGCGGCUUCGCAAGUCGGGCAUGAAACCUCCUCGCUUAACGGGGAGAAGCUGUUCGAUACUGCGAGGCUUGAGGUCGGUAGAGGGUGGUGGAAUUCCGCAUGUAGUGGUGAAAUGCGUAGAGAUGCGGAGGAACACCAGUGGCGAAGGCGGCCACCUGGACCGAUCCUGACGCUAAAGCGCGAAAGCUAGGGUAGCAAACGGG